rnacentral:vault_RNA from 1 species
GAGCCAGCUUAGCCUAGCGGUUUCUUCGCAAUCUGAGUAAUUGUCAUUCAGCUGCUACUCCUUAGCAGUUCAAGUCCCGCGGGCGCUGCCUGGCUUUUUU